rnacentral:lncRNA from 1 species
UCUUAGCUUUUCAAAGCUUCAAAAGCUCUUCAACUUCUUCUAAUAUUCUUGUUCAUCUUUACAAGUAAAAAGUGUUGUUUGCUUUAAUAUUCUACUCCUCUAAUCACCUCUUGUGCGUGUCCACUUUGGUUGAGAGGGUUGUCUCAAUAGUACCAAAGUGUGAGAGAAGGUUUUUGAGCUCAACCAUAUAAAGCUUUAGUUUGGUUUUAUAAAGUUU